UUUUCUUUUUUUUUUUUUUUUCCCUUUUCCAUUGUCCCUCAGUGGUGAUAACUUUCCUAUUACCCUAAUUUUGAGAGACAAGACAACAAACCGUUUUGAGAAGCUAAUGCUUUUAGUACAAGUUCAGUAGAGUUUAAACUUGAAAAUUCUCUGUCAGGAUGAUAGUAGGAUUGAUAUUUCUUUGUUUGUGUUUCGUUAUUGGAUACUUAAUAUUGAAAGGUAAUCAAAUUUUUUGUCAGUGGAUACUUGAUUUGGAAAAGUGAUCACAUUUUUAGGUUCUCUCUUGGCCUUUUGCAGAUAAUCACAAAGGAAUCCCUUUUGGCUGCACAGGUAAAAUAAAAGGCCUUUCAAGCUUUUCAAAUUUCCUUCUUGCAUAUGUGUCUUUCUACUCCAAUAAUUGAUGUUUUGUCUUUGGAUUUUGUGUGUGUAGAGGGAAGAUUUGCGCAGAGUAAUGGAAAUGCUAUCACUAAGGGAACACCAUGCGAGGACCUUGUUGAUACAUUACCGUUGGGAUGUUGAAAGGUUGUUUGCUGCGUUUGUAGAGAAGGGGAAAUCAUACUUGUUCACUGAAGCAGGUGUUACUGUGGUUGAGCAACUAGACGUUGAUUCACCACUGACUUCAUCUUCUACAGUAACGUGUGAUAUAUGCAUAGAGGAUGUAUCUGGCAAUAAGGCGACAAGAAUGGAUUGUGGCCAUUGCUUUUGCAAUGAUUGUUGGACUGAGCACUUCAUUGUGAAAAUAAAUGAGGGUCAGAGUAGACGCAUCCGGUGCAUGGCGCACAAAUGUAAUGCUAUCUGUGAUGAAGCUGUUGUCAGAAAUUUAGUUAGUAAAAAACAUCCUGAUUUGGCAGAGAAAUUUGAUCGUUUUCUUCUUGAAUCAUACAUUGAGGAUAACAAAAUGGUUAAAUGGUGCCCAAGCAUUCCCCAUUGUGGGAAUGCUAUACGAAUUGAAGAAGAUGAAUGCUGUGAGGUAGAAUGUUCAUGCGGUUUACAGUUUUGUUUCAGUUGCUUGUCAGAAGCACACUCGCCUUGUUCAUGUUUGAUGUGGGAGCUUUGGAGCAAGAAAUGUCAAGAUGAAUCUGAAACAGUUAAUUGGAUCACAGUUCAUACAAAGCCUUGUCCUAAGUGUCACAAACCAGUUGAGAAGAAUGGUGGCUGCAACCUUGUGAGCUGUAUAUGUGGUCAAUCGUUUUGUUGGCUAUGUGGUGGAUCGACUGGGAGAGAUCAUACAUGGUCUAGAAUAUCUGGUCACAGUUGUGGUCGCUAUAAAGAAGACCGAGAGAGAAAAACGGAACGCGCAAAACAGGAUCUCUAUCGAUAUAUGCACUAUCAUAACCGCUAUAAGGCUCACACAGAUUCCUUUAAGCUUGAAAGUAAACUUAAGGAGACAAUCCUGGAGAAAGUAUCAAUAUCUGAAGAGAGGGAAUCAAGACUAAGAGAUUUCAGCUGGGUAAAUAAUGGACUCUACAGACUUUUCAGAUCAAGAAGGGUUCUUUCAUAUUCAUACCCGUUUGCAUUUUAUAUGUUUGGUGAAGAGCUGUUUAAGGAUGAGAUGACAACAGAGGAAAGGGAAAUUAAACAGAAUUUAUUUGAGGAUCAGCAACAGCAGCUUGAGUCAAAUGUUGAAAAACUCUCCAAGUUCCUGGAGGAGCCUUUUGAGCAGUAUACUGAUGAAAAAGUUAUGGAAAUAAGGAUGCAAGUCAUCAAUCUAUCUACAAUUACUGAUAAUCUUUGUAAGAAAAUGUAUGAGUGCAUAGAAAGUGAUUUAUUGGGUGCUCUUCAACUAGGUACCCAUAACAUAGCUCCCUACAAGUCAAAGGGCAUUGAGAAGGCGUCAGAACUUUCGUCUUGUUGGAGCAACAAAGUCAAUACUGCUGACAAAUGCCUGCCAUCAGAUGGCAAUACUAGUGGUAAUUUGAAUUCAGUCAAUGGUGUUUGAUUUAGAAGAGAAAUUUUGAUGUUUGGCACACGCACACACAUAUAUACCUGAUCCAUCUUGCCCCGACUUGUAUCAAAAUAAGAUCAGGCAAGUGUAGAAGUGCCAAAAUCUGCCCUAUACCUGAUGCAUUUGCCAUCAUCUCUGUCAUGUAUGAUUUUGAUACUCGUAUUUCUCAGCAUUGUUAUUCUACCUUCCCCUGGUUCUUAAGUUGUAUCUUUAAUUGCAUGGCAUUUAUAUGAUGUGUGAUGGGCCCUUUCUUGUCAUGUAAAAUUUAGUAAACUAUUUAUGCAUUUGCAUUAGAGUUUCAGUAAACUAUUUCUUGUUAUGUAUGAUUUUGUCAUGCUUUCGCACUGCUGACAGGUUUUUGUUUGGUGUUACAUGCAUCGAUUGGAUUCAUUAUUGAGCUUAGUUAACAAGUUAGAUUUUUUAUUGAUCACAUUUUGUGGAAGCUAAACAGCCAUCUGAUGCAUUUGCAGGAACACUAUUUUAAUUUUGAAAUUGCAUCAAAUUGGACAUCUUAUGGAAGUGUCUCUUGGGUGGCCCACAGAUUGGCCUAACAAGCCCAAUUAAUUCUGUUAUGUAAUUUCUGUGUUAAGGCAUAUGUGUCUUUGUAAGAUGUUGAAAUGAAAUUACUAUCUAUGUUUUGGAAAAAAAAAUUGCUGCAAAUUAGUUUUAUGUCUAUAAUUUGGGAAAAGGGAGAAAUUUAAAGCAUCUCUCUGAAGUCAACCAUAUCAUUUAUACCUCGCACACAGAUGAGAUUUUGUAAUGUUAUUGUUGUAUUUGGUUCAUGAGCUCCAUGCUCAUUCAGUUUCAAUAGAUUAGAUGGUUCCCUGAAGUAUUUUAUUUUCAUUUUUUCAAAUUUAGGAAGAUUGAGUAUAUUUUGAUUAUCAAUACUAACACACUACAUUUUAGGUGGCGCAUCACAACAUGAUAAACCUUCAGGCUCUAGGAGUUCAGCUGAUAGUGGAUGCUCUUCUUGGAAGCGUGCUAGGAGGGAUGGAGGUGGCUUUUUAGAUCUGAACUUGCCGGCAGAGAUCAUGGAUAGGAACUGAAAUCAGAGAAUGAAGACUUCAUGUAAGUACAAAGUGUACAGCUCUAACUCAAGGCCAUGUUCUUCUUCAUGGAAUUGAUCAUUUGUGGAUUAAGCACCAAGUGCUUCUACCCUUUACCCUUAAUAGCCUUUUGUUCUGCGUUCGACAUUGCUUUCUCUCAGUGGGAUGUCGUGGAAUAGAAUUUUGUUUCUACUUUUCACCCAGCCUUUUUUUUUAUGUUGUACAUAGCUGUUUAUUGGGUUUUUGUGAGGAUAGAUGUGUAAAUUCUCUAGCUGGGGGGCUUGAGCUAGACUUUGAUGCAUCAUUGACAUAAUUUUGCAGAAUGUGAUUAUCUUAUUGAAGUAAUUAUGCAGAACUUGAUCGUCUUAUCGAUUUAUGCUUAAUUUCAUAGUUGUCAUAAUAUUCUUCCUUUGAAGUGUUCUGCCUCUGCCUCUGCCUCUCUACCCCUGGCCGCUGUUCCAGGCUAAUGGUCCUGUUCUGUUCUGUUGGAAUCUGGUUGAAUCAGCCAAUGUAUAUUUUUUUAAAUUUGUAUAUUUUGGACCAAAAUUAAUAUGUAUUUAUUUUUUUAUAAAGGAAUAUAAAAAAUGACAUGGAUGUGUAAAUAUUGG
rnacentral:misc_RNA from 1 species